UACAGCCUCGCUAGUGUCCCUAGAUUGUCAGCCCGGUUGCAUUCUGCAUCCUCUAUUUACUGUAUCCGGGGCUGCCGUAUAAGCCAGACGUGCAUAAUUUUGAGUGUGUUUCGACGUUUCAAGUUACUCGUGGCCGGGAAAAAUGGCGGGUGAAAUGAGCUUUGGUAAAAUGCACUUUACCUUGAACAAUGGAGUCAAUAUGCCGGCUGUCGGUUUGGGAACUUUGGGUAUGAGAAAUUAUCCUGUUUUGUAUGAUACAAUAGAU